GGGGGUGUUCCGGAUUCGAUCCCGAUCAAGCGGUCGCGAUGGCACGCGGAGGAUGAUCCUUGGCCUCCUUAAUCACGGAUCACGACGAUAACUGGCAAAUCCAACGUCAUCGCCUUCCAGCGUCCCUCCCUCGCUCUCGCUGCCUAAAGCAGUUUGAGCGAAAGUGACGCCUAACGGCAAAAUUGUCGCCACAGUUGCGACACAGCGAUGCUCACCGACGCCUGCUGAGUGACCACGCUGACAAAACAGCAGGUAACCCUCCCUUUCUCGCCGGAUCUUUUGAGGAUAAAAAGGAAAGACGCGGCUCAAGCACACCGGGCGCCGCCGCCCCAAGUGUGACAAAAACCCAUACGGACGGCUAAGCGUGUAGAAGUCGCCUCCAACGGGUUGGGAGACAGGGGUUCAACUCCCCUCACCUCCACCA
rnacentral:tmRNA from 1 species